rnacentral:rRNA from 1 species
GGAUAAGCGCUGGAAACGGCGUCUAAUACUGGAUAUGUGACGUGACCGCAUGGUCUGCGUUUGGAAAGAUUUUUCGGUUGGGGAUGGGCUCGCGGCCUAUCAGCUUGUUGGUGAGGUAAUGGCUCACCAAGGCGUCGACGGGUAGCCGGCCUGAGAGGGUGACCGGCCACACUGGGACUGAGACACGGCCCAGACUCCUACGGGAGGCAGCAGUGGGGAAUAUUGCACAAUGGGCGCAAGCCUGAUGCAGCAACGCCGCGUGAGGGAUGACGGCCUUCGGGUUGUAAACCUCUUUUAGCAGGGAAGAAGCGAAAGUGACGGUACCUGCAGAAAAAGCGCCGGCUAACUACGUGCCAGCAGCCGCGGUAAUACGUAGGGCGCAAGCGUUAUCCGGAAUUAUUGGGCGUAAAGAGCUCGUAGGCGGUUUGUCGCGUCUGCUGUGAAAUCCCGAGGCUCAACCUCGGGCCUGCAGUGGGUACGGGCAGACUAGAGUGCGGUAGGGGAGAUUGGAAUUCCUGGUGUAGCGGUGGAAUGCGCAGAUAUCAGGAGGAACACCGAUGGCGAAGGCAGAUCUCUGGGCCGUAACUGACGCUGAGGAGCGAAAGGGUGGGGAGCAAACAGGCUUAGAUACCCUGGUAGUCCACCCCGUAAACGUUGGGAACUAGUUGUGGGGUCCAUUCCACGGAUUCCGUGACGCAGCUAACGCAUUAAGUUCCCCGCCUGGGGAGUACGGCCGCAAGGCUAAAACUCAAAGGAAUUGACGGGGACCCGCACAAGCGGCGGAGCAUGCGGAUUAAUUCGAUGCAACGCGAAGAACCUUACCAAGGCUUGACAUAUACGAGAACGGGCCAGAAAUGGUCAACUCUUUGGACACUCGUAAACAGGUGGUGCAUGGUGUCGUC